ACCUGUAGUCCCAGCUACUCAGGAGGCUGAGGCAGGAGAAUGGCAAGAACCCGGGAGGCGGAGCUUGAAGUGAGCUGACAUUGCGCCACUGGACUCCAGCCUGGGCGACAGAUCAAGACUCCCUCUCAAAAAAAAAUAAUAAAUAAAAUAAAAGACCUAGCAUUAAGAGCUCUCUUCAACAGACAUACUGGUAUGCAAGCAAAAUUCUCCCAGAGAUAGGAGUAUCUAAGACAGGGCUAAGAAAUGGGACAGUAGAAGGAAUGGUCAAUACUGCACAGUCUGUGUUCUGGAGAGGCUUGACAGUCUUAUGGGAAGGAGAAGCUGAACAAUGAAAUUAGAGACUGUGAUAUUAUGAAAUAUAUAUUUGGCCUUUGUCCUGUUUCCUGGCAUAAGAACUCCUACAAUCUGUGAAAUCUGCAAAGUGAGAAAUGUCUUUUUGUAUGCUAAUAAAUUGACUUACGGCUGGCAGCCUCUAGGCUUCAGGAUGGGGGCUGGUCACCUGAAAGACUAAGGUAGGAUUUGCUGGUUCGAACUUUUAGCCCUACUCCUCAACCUCCUGGGAGGGGACAGGGGCUGAAGGUUAAGUUGAUCACCAGUAGCCAAUGGUUUAAUCAAUCAUGCUUAUGUAACAAAGACUCCAUAAAAACCCCAAAAAUCAGUGUUCAGAGGUUUUUCGGAUGACUGAACACAUGGAGAUUCUUGGAGGGUGGUGUAUUCAGAGAGGGCCUGGAAGCUCCAUGCCCCUUCCCUCACCCCAUGCCCUAUGCAUCUCUUCAUCUGGUGUUCAUCAUUAUUCUUCGUAAUAUCCUUUAUAAUAAACCAGUAAAGGUUAGUUAAGUGUUUUUCUGAGUUCUGUGAGCUGCUGUAGCAAAUCCAUCAAACCCAAGGAGGGGUUUUUGGGAAACCCGAUGUAUAGCUUGGUCAGUCAGAAGCACAGGUAAAACAACCUGGAGCUUGCAAUUGGCAUCUGAAUGGAAAACAGGGCAGUCUCGGGAAUUGAGUCCUCAACCUGUGGAAUCUGAUGCUAUCUCCAGGUGGAUAGUGUCAGAACUGAGCUGAUUUAGAAGACACCCAACUGGUCAGGAUUGAUUGAUUAGUUGCUGGUGAGAAGAAACCCCUACACAUUUUGGUGAUCAGAGGUCACAGGAGUCUUCUACGUUGAUUGUUAGUGAGAGACUAGGAGAAACUCCUUUUUUUUUUUCUUUCCUAUAUUCUCAGAGAUCCUAACCUGAGAGGAGAAAUUUAAGUGCUGGAACACAAGGAUUGCUACCAGCUGCUCCUGGGCAAAUGGCCAAAUUAACGUGCCAGGGAUCUGACUGUGACCUUGCCUGUGUGUGUGUGUGUGUGUGUGUGUGUGUGUCCAAACUACUGGGGUUCCUAAGAGAUAGCCACCUAGAAAACAAAAGCAAAGCAAGCAAAACCAUAAAUAAUCAGUCUGGUCUGGUGGCUGGAGGGGACUAAUGGGCAGUGAUGUAAGAAACCCAUAAUUACUGAAUCAUAGCUAUAUUUAUAGUUGUAUCUUCUCAAAUGCUAAAGAUUUUACUUAACGUAUUAAUUAAAUGAGAAAAGUAGGCAGAUGUUAUAACCUGUUCAAAGGCGUCAAAGAAGAAGAAAUUUAUGUGGAGUAAACAAAUGUAGAAAUGAUUGUGCAAACUGGCUUGGGGUGGGGCAGGUGGGUUGGCCUCCCCCUAACAGACCAUUGUCAUAUAUAUAGAUAAGAAUUAUUUUACAUUAAUUCUUGUAUCUUGUUAUCAAUAUAGUAUUAAUUACUUUGCAUUGCUAACAAACCUAUAGAGUUAUAAAGUAACUCUCAUAGAAUCAGAUAACCAGGAAGGAUGCAAUUUAUAAAAUGCAGUUUUCGAUGGAAGCACAAAUUUCUCCCUAAAAUGUAAAAGUCUGGAAGAAUACAUAACAAAGUCUUUGCCCUGUACAAAGGUGGGGGGUGCGGCCGGGAGCAGUGGCUCAUGCAGGCAAUCCUAGCACUAUUAGGAGUCUGAGGUGAGUGGAUUGCUUUUAGUUCAUGAGUUCGAGACCAGCCUGGGCAACAUGGCAAAACCCCUUCUUUACAAAAAAUAUUAGCCACGCAUGGUGGCAUGCACCUCCCAGCUACUCGGGAGGCUAAGGCAGGAGGAUCACUUGCACCCGGAGGUCAAGACUACAGUGAGCCAUGAUCACACCACUGCACUCUAGCCUGGGUGACAAAGUAAGACCCUGCCACAAAAAAAAAAAAAAAAAGAAAAAAGAAGGUUGGGGAUAUAUCUAUGUGUUUUCCUUUAAACACUUAUGUAAAGUUAAGUGCUUUUACAAGAAUGUAUUCAUUGCAAAAUUUGCUCUAAAAGAAAGAAACCACAUUUAAAAGUUGACGUGAGUUGAGUGCCAUAUAGUCUAAAAGAUGAGCAGAGCUCUGUAGUCAGUGGCUGGGUUUGCAUCCCAGAUUCACCCUUUACAGCUGUUUGAUCUUAAGUUACAUAGCCUAAGGCAGUUUCUUCAGCUGUGAAAUGGAAUGAUAUUAAUACUGCCCGUUAAAAACAUUUUAACUGGGGGCGGAGCGUGGUGGCUCAUGCCUGUAAUCUCAGCACUUUGAGAGGCCAAGGUGGGCGGAUCACCUGAAAUCAGGAGUUUGAGACCAGCCUGGCCAACAAGGCGAAACCCCAUCUCUACUAAAAAUACAAAAAUUAGCCACACAUGGUGGCAUGCACCUGUAAUCCCAGCUACUCAGGAGGCUGAGGCAGGAGAAUUGCUUGAACUCGGGAGGUGGAGGUUGCAGUGAACCGAGAUUGCGCCACUGCACUCCAGCCUGGGUGACAGAGGGAGACUCUUUCUCAAAACAAAACAAAACAAAACAAAACAAAACAUUUUAACUGGGAGGCCAUUAGGCUGAGAUAGUCUCAGCUUUUUGGGUUCCUAUGUAAGCAAACUGAGGCCCAAUGUAAAAAGUAAAACAAAACUAGAGACUUAACCAACCAGAAACUGUCAAUUAACUUCUAACUAGGGACUUUCCAUGGGUUUAUACCCAAAUAAGGGCAGGUCUACUUGUAGCCAAUCAGGAGAUCUUUCCUCAUUUGAAGAUCCUGGCACUCUUCUUAAAAAUGUUGACCAUAAACAUGUGGGUUUACUUCUGGACCCUCAAUUCCAUUCAAUUGAUCUACAUGACAAUUCUUAGACUACAGCCACACAGGUUUGAGUACUACAGCUUUUCAAUAAGUUUUUUGUUUUUGUUUUUUUGAGACGGAGUCUCGCUGUGUCACCCAGGCUGGAGUGCAGUGGCAUGAUCUCAGCUCACUGCAACCUCUGCCUCCCGGGUUCAAGCAAUUCUACUGCCGAGUAGCUGGGAUUACAGGUGCCCACGACAAUGCCCAGCUAAUUUUUGUAUUUUUAGUAGAGAUGGGGUUUCACCAUGUUAGCCAGGCUGGUCUCAAACUCCUGACCUCAGGCGAUCUGCCCACUCGGACUCCUAAAGUGCUGGGAUUACUGGUAUAAGCCACUGCUUCCAGCCCUUAUUAAGUUUUUACAUUGCAAAGUGCGAGUCCUCCAACUUUGUUCUUCUUGAUUGUUUUGAGUAUUCUAGGUCCCUUGCAAUUCCAUAUGAAUUUUAGAUCAUUUUGUCAAUUUCUAUAACUAGCUGGAAUUCUGAUCAAAUCUUCAAAUCUGUAAAUCUAUAGAUCAAUUUGAGGAGUAUUGCUUUUGUUUGUUUUGUUUUUGAGACAGGAUCUCAGUCUGUCACCCAGGCUGGAAUGCAGUGGUGUGAUCACAGCUCACACCAGCCUUGGCAGCCUUGACUUCCUGCACUGAAGCGAUCCUCCAACCUCAGCCUCUUGAGUAGCUGAGACCAUAGGCGUGCACCACCACACUCAACUAAUUUUUUUUAAAUUUAUUUAAUUUAUGUUUUUUGAGAGGGAGUGUUGCUCUCUUGCCCAGGCUGGAGUGCAGUGGCGUGAUCUCAGCUCACUACAACCUCUGCCUCCUGGGUUCAAGUGAUUCUUGUGCCUUAGCCUCCUGAGUAGCUGAGACUACAUGCAUAUGCCACCAUGCCAGGCUAAUUUUUGUAUUUUUAGUAGAGAUGGGGUUUCACCAUGUUGGCCAAGCUGGUCUCGAACUCCUGACCUCAGGUGAUCCACUCACCUCGGCCUCCUAAAGUGCUGGGAUUACAGGCAUGAGCCCCUGUGCCUGGCUGGGCUAAUUCUUAAAUUUUUUGUAGAGAUGGGGUCUUCCUAUGUUGCCUCGGCUGGUCUUGAACUCCUGGGCUCAAGUGAUCAUCCUAGCUCAGCCUCUCAAAGUGCUGGGAUUACAGACAUGCACCACUGUGCCUGGCCGAGUAUUGCUAUCUUAACAAUAUUAUCUCCCAAUCCAUGAACAUAGAAUGUUUUUCCAUUUAUUUGGAUGUUUUUUAGUUUCUUUCAAGAAUGGUUUGCAGUUUGGGGAGUAUAAUUUUUGCAUUUCUUUUGUUAAAGUUAUUCCUAAAUAAUGUAUUCUUAUUGAUACUAUUGUAGAUGAAACUUUUAUUAAUUUUAUUUUUGAACUGUUCAUUGCAAGUGUGUAGAAACACGAUUGAUUUUUGUGUAUUGAUCUCAUAUCUUGCAGCCUUGCUAAAAUUAUUUAUUAGUUCUAAUCUCCCCUCUUAAGGCUUAAACUCUAGUUGGAAAUCAAGGUUAGGGGAGGGGUACAGCCAAGGACUUACAUUUCUUUUUUUUUUUUUUGAGGCAGAGUCUUGCUCUGUCGCACAGGCUGGAGUGCAGUGGCGCGAUCUCAGCUCACUGCAACCUCUGCCUCCCGAGUUCAAGCAAUCCUUUGCCUCAGCCUCCCGAGUAGCUGGGAUUACAGGCGCCCACCACCCCACCCGGCUAAUUUUUUGUAUUUUUAGAAGAGGCGGGGUUUCACCAUCUUGGCCAAGCUGAUCUUGAACUCCUGACCUCGUGAUCCACCUACCUCGGCCUCCCAAAGUGCUGGGAUUACAGGUGUGAGCCACCAUGCCCGGCCAGGAUUUACACUUCUUAUUGUUCACACUUCACUUUUUGUUUUUUCAUUUUUACAUUUAUUUUAUUUUAUUUCUUUUUUUUUUUUUUUUUUUGAAAUGAGGGUCUUGCUAUGUUGCUGAGGCCGUUCUCAACCUCCUGGGCUCAAGCAAUCCUCCCACCUCAGCCUCCCGAGUAGCUGGGAUUACAGGCACAUGCCACCAUGCCCAGUCACUUUUUGACAUAUAAAACUAUGCACAUGUAUUGCUUUCAUAGAGAUAAAAAUAAUAUAAAAAGUAUCCUGGCACAGUCCCCAGGACAACUCUUUACAGCUGCCACUCAUCAGCUUAGUGUCUUGACAGUUAAGGCCAGGCCAAGGUCCCACUGUGACCUUUUUCCCUCCCUAAAGCUGCUUUGGGACUCUUUACCUUAAAGGGGUUAAAAAGAGGGAGAAAUGUUUAUAAAUUCUAAAAGUAACUUAAGAUAAUAUUUUAAAGUACUUAGCCAUUAAAAGUAACUUUUAUUUAUCAAGAUACAAUUAGGUAUCUGGCAAAGAUGGCAUGUCAAAUCACUGAAGUAAAGAAAGACUUUGAAAAAAUGCUAGAACAAAUGGGUAGGCACUUGGAAAAUAUAUAUAGAUGAAUACUUCACACCAUAUGUAAGAAUCAACUUCUAAUAGAUGAGGGAUCUAUAUGUAAAAAAGGAAACCAUUCAAGCACCAUUAAAAGUAACAGCAGGGCUGGGCACAGUGGCUCAUGCCUGUAAUCCCAGCACUCUGGGAGACCGAAGUGGUCGGAUCACCUGAGGUCAGGAGUUCAAGACUAGCCUAGCCAACAUGGUGAAACCCCAUCUCUACUAAAAAUACAAAAAAAAAAAAAAAAAUUAGCUGAGCAUGGUGGCACGCACCUGUAAUCCCAGCUACUCGGGAGGCUGAGGCAAGAGAAUCACUUGAACCUAGGAGGUGGAGGUUGCAGUGAGCCAGUCGUGCCACUGCACUCUAGCCUGGGCAACAGAGCGAGACUCUAUCUCAAAAAUAAACAAACAAACAAACACAUAAAUAAAUAAAAGUAAUGGCAAAACCUCAAUCACUUUUGCACCAACAUAUUAGAAAAACACACGGGUAGAUUCCUCUUUAACUUCAGUGUAGGGAAUGGCUUUUGAACUGGGGCUCAAAAUUCAGACGUAAUAAAAGAUUGAUAAAUGUGAUGAUAUGUAAAUGCUUAAAUUUGCGUGACAAAAGUACCAUAAAGAAGGACAAAGGAUAACUGACAAAAAUAGGAGAAAAUAUUCACACAUAUACCAUAGACAAGGAGUAAAAUCCUUAAAAUAUAAAAAAUGCUUAAAAUUUGAGGACAAAGGACCAAAAACUCAACAGAAAAAUGGGAAAAGAUGUGAACAGACAACAAACAAAAAAAGAUAGAAAAAUGUCUCUCAAAUAUAUGAAAAAAUGUCAGACUCAUUCAUAAUUAGAAAAAUGCAGAUUAAAACAACACUGAGAUACCAUUUUUACCUGGAAAAGUUUAGAUAGACAAAAAUUUAAAAAUACAGACUGACAGUAUAUUCUGUUGGAGAGACUGUAAGGGAAAUACACAGUCUCAUUCAUUACUGGUGGGAAUGAAAAUUGGUUCAACGCUUCUGGAGAGAAAUUUGGUAAUAUCUGAAUAAACGACAUAUGCACUUAUAUUUUGACCCAGCAAUCUCAUUUCUAGAAAUUUACCCUGAAGAUAAACUUCCAACAAUAUAAACAUAUAUAUGCAUAAGUUUAUUGCAGGUUUGAUUUUUUGUUUUUGAGACGGAGUCUCGCUCUGUCGCCCACGCUGGAGUGCAGUGGCGUGAUCUCGGCUCACUGCAAGCUCUGCCUCCUGGGUUCACGCCAUUCUCCUGCCUCAGCCUCCCGAGCAGCUGGGUCUACAGGUGCCCGUCACCACGCCCGGCUAAUUUUUUGUAAUUUUUUGUAUUUUUUUGUAUUUUUAGUAGAGACGGGGCUUCACCAUGUUAGCCAGGAUGGUCUCGAUCUCCUGACCUCGUGUUCCGCCUGCCUCAGCCUCCCAAAGUGCUGGGAUUACAGGCAUGAGCCACUGCGCCCGGCCAAUUUUUUUUUUUUUUUUUUUUUUUUAAGACAGAGUCUUGCCCUGUCACCCAGCCUGGAGUGCAGUGGCGCGAUCUCGGCUCACUGCAACCUCUGCCUCCAGGGUUCAAGUAAUUCUCCUGCCUCAGCCUCCCAAGUAGCUGGGAUUACAGGCAUGUGCCACUACUUCAAGAAUUGAAAAAACAUACUGGUUUUUAUACCUUUUGCAUAUUUAUCUUUUUUUAAAUUUUUUUAGACAGGAUCUCACUCUCUUGCCCAGGCUGGGGUAGAGUGGCAUGAUCAUGGCUCACUGCAUCCUUGACCUUCUGGGCUCAAGGGAUCCUCUCACCUCAGCCUCCUGAGUAGCUGGGACUAGGGGCAUGCAUCACCACACACCCAGCUAAUUUUUUAUUUUUUGUAGAGACCAGGUCUCGGCAUGGUUCCCAGGCAGGUCUUGAACUUCUGCACUCAAGCAAUCCUCUCCCACCUUGGCCUCUAAAAGUGUUGGGAUUAUAGGCAUGAGCUACUGCAUCUGGCCUGUAUUUUUAUCUUGAAUACAACUACCAUAUCACUACUUUUAUUGAUUCAAGUAGUUUUUUUUUUUCUUCAAACCGGAGUCCUUGGGAUAUACAGGCAUAAAUCUUUUUUUUUUUUUUUUUUUUUUUUUUUUGAGACGGAGUCUCACUCUGUCACCCACACUGGAGUGCAGUGGCACGAUCUCGGCUCACUGCAAGCUCCACCUCCCAGGUUCAUGCCAUUCUCCUGCCUCAGCCUCCCGAGUUGCUGGUACUACAGGUGCCCACCACCAAGCCCAGCUAAUUUUUUGUAUUUUUAGUAGAGAUGGGGGUUUCACCGUGUUAGCCAGGAUGGUCUCGAACUCCUGACCUCAUGAUCCGUCCGCCUCGGCCUCCCAAAGUGCUGAGAUUACAGGCAUGAACCACAGUGCCCGGCCGCAUAAAUCUUAUAAUCAGCUGAAAGAUAUCAUUUUAUCUUUUCUUAUCCAAUAUAUAUACCAGUUGUUUAACUUUUUUGUAUUAUGUAUUCUAUGUAUUUAUCAUAAUAUUUAAAAUAAUAUAGUUCCACGUUCUAAUAGUCCAUCAUUUAAAACAGGAAAAAGAAGAAAAUCAUAUAAAGGGAAAGAUUGAUAAAUUGUAUUAUAUUAAAAUUAAGAACUUCUGGUUUUCAAAAGAUACCACAAUGAAAAUGAAAAUAUAAGCUACAAACUGGGAGAAGAUAUUUGGCACAUAAUUGACAAAGAAUUAUAACUGAGAAAAACAUAACUAACUUCUACAAAUAAGUAAGAAAUACCAAACAACUCAGCCGGGCACAGUGGCUCACACCUGUAAUCCCAGCACUUUGGGAGGCUGAGGUGGGCAGAUCAUUUGAGGUCAGGAGUGGGAGACCAGCCUGGCCAAGAUGGUGAAACCCUGUCUCUACUAAAAAAAUACAAAAAUUAGCCAGGUGUGGUGGUAUGUGCCUGUAAUCCCAGCUACUCAGGAGUCUAAGGCACGAGAAUCACUGGAGCCCAGGAGGUGGAGGUUGCAGUGAGCCGAGAUCACCCCUGCACUCCAGCCUGGGCAAUGCAUCGAGAUUCUGUCUCAAAAAAAAAAAAGAAAAAAAUAAAGAAAUACCAAACAACCCGUGAGAAAAAUGGAAGAAAAACACAUACAUACAUUUCAUGAGUAUACAACCCACAGAAACACGAACAGAAGCACAGUCUCACUACUUAACAGGGAAAGGCAAAUUCAAACCAUAAUGAGAUAAUUUUAUACCCACCAUAUUGCAAAAAAAAAAAAAAAAAAGGAGUUAAGUUUGACACAAUCAAAAGAUGGCAAGGAUGUGGAGCAAUAAGCAACCUUACACACGGCUGAUAGGACUCCAAAGCCCUUAUGUUCUCAAUUAGAAUGGACAAACAAAUCCUGAUAUAACAAAAUAAUAAAAUACUGAAAGCAAUGAAAAUAAACUACAUCUACAUGAAUUAAAAUCUAUACAUUUCAUUGACAUAAUGUUGAGUAAGAAAAGAGCUAGCUGCCAAAAAUAUAUUUAUAAUGUUGGUUUCAUUCAUAUUAAGUUAAACGUGUAAAAAUAAAAGUAUAUGUUUAAAACUAUAUGUUUUAAGGAUACAUGUGUAUUUGAUUAAACUAUGAUUAAAUUAAAUUAAACUUGAUUACAGAAUGAGGAAAACUAUGGUUGGAGAAAUUUGCAGGCAGGAUCAGGGAAGAGUCUACAGCGUAUUUCUUAAAACUAGAUAUUUCUUGCCUUGACAUCUCAGCAAACAAACAAAACUGGGUAUUUCUUAAACUAGGUGGUGGGUACACUGGUGUUCAUUUGAUGGUUAUUGUCUAUACUACUUGUUAUUAAACUUGGCUGCAAUUGGGAUCGCCUAAAGGGCUUAAAAAUAAUACCGAUGCCUCACUCCCACCUCAGAGAUUUUGAUUUAAUUUCAUGAGGUCUGGCAAAUAUUAUCCUAAAUGGAAACCCUAAAGAUUCCUUAAAAUGUAUUACUCUAAAGAUAAAUGGCCUCAUUCCUGAUGUUUUUUAAAACUUUUCAUUUUGAAAUAAUUUCAGACUUACCUCAAAGUUUCCAAAAUAGUAGCGUUCCUGUAGUAUCUUUUACCCAGCUUCCUCUAGUGUUAACACUUACGCAACCUAGUACAAUGAUCAAAACCGGGAAAUUAACAUUGCUAAAUACUGUUCUUCAGCCGUUAUUCAAAUAUUGCCAGUUUUCCCACUAAUGUUCUUUCAUUGGUCCAAGGUCUAAUCCAGGAUCUUACAUUUCUCUAAGCCAUCAUGUCUUCUUAGUCUAUUCCAAUCUGUGACAGUUCCUCAGUCUUUCUUUGUCUUUCAUGACCUUAAUACUUUUGAGGACUGCUGAUUAGUUAUUUUACAGAGAGUAGCUGAAUUUAGUUUGUCUGAUAUUUUCUUACAAUUAGAUUGAGGUUAUGCAUUUUUGGCAAGAAUUCCACAGCAGGUAUGUUGCCCCCUUCUUGGUGCAUUAUGUAAGGGAUUAUAUUAUGUUGAUAUAUCUCAUUACUGGUGAUAUUAACUCUGAUCACUUAGUUAAGGUGGUGUCUAUGAAUUAAUCAAGUUAUCAAAUCUCUCUUAUUUCAUUCUCAAAGGAAAACUCAUCAAUUAUUGAGGACCUCUGACUGUCACUCUAAUGCAUGAAUAAAGAGGUGCUGGAUUAAAAUACAUGGGCAUACAGACAUACAUGCACAUAUGUGCACAUACAAAUUAAAGACAAGAUAUUUCAACUCCAUUAUAUUCAUCAGUGAUAUGGUUUGGCUGUGUCCCCACCCAAAUUUCAUCUUGUAUUGUAGUUCCCAUAAUCCCCACGUGUCAUGGGAGGGACCCUGUGGGAGGUAAUUGAAUCAUGAGGGCGGUUUCCCCCGUGCUGUUCCCAUAAUAGUGCGUUCUCAUGAGAUCUGAUGAUUUUAUAAGGGGCUUUCCCCGCUUUUGCUCAGCACUUCUCCUCGCUGCUGCCAUGUGAAGAACGAAGGUUUUGCUUCCCCUUCCACCAUGAUUAUAAGUUUCCUGAGGUUUCCCCAGCCCUGCGGAACUGUGAGUCAAUUAAACCCCUUUCCUUUAAACUACCAAGUCUCAGGCAGUUCUUUACAGCAGUGUGAGAAUGGACUAAAACAGUCAGUUAUUACCACAAUAAUGCUUCAUAACACACCUCCUAUGUCUCAGACUUACAACAACAAGUUCAUGGAUCUUUGCAUGGGCUGGAGCA
rnacentral:lncRNA from 10 species